GCGAAUAGAUAAGACGUGAUUUAUAACUUCCUUUAAUCACAAUCCUUCUCCUCAGCUAGUAAUACGCACCGUCCGCAAAAGGCACCCGCCCCUACAAUUCCGUGUGAGCAUCUCCAUCUCGAUCUAUCUUUAUGGCUGCCUCCGACUCCGCGUUCGGCCGACCGUGCUUCGUUCUCGUAUGGGACUCAGAUUCCGAGGAUUGGGCAAUGAUUUGCGGCGGCGAGACGAACACCAUUGACGAGUCAGUAGGUGCAGCGGUACUGGAGGUCCGGCAAUCCAAUUCGCAACUGACGUCUUUCAAUUUCUCACUUACCCGAUCCAAUUUUUGCAAUCUUUUUUUCAAGAUCUAAAUACAGUAUUUUUUAUGCAGUCUUUCGUUGGCUUGAUCUGUUACUCAUUAUCCUAGGUCAUGUGCUUGGUGGAUCGGUGAUGCUCCGCCUGCCCGUUCCUGCCUCUCAUUCACGGACGCUCGCUCGCGGGUACCCUGCGCCAAAUUUCCUGUCCUGAUUCAGCUUCGCUUCUCUUAAUCAGAAGGGAGACCACUUAGAUUAAAAUUCUUUGACUGCAUCGAUCAUGCAUUAUGUAUCUGUAUUUGUCAGUUCCAGAACAGAGUCUAAUCUUCAGUCUUUGUGCAGUCCAACUAUGAGAAGUAUGAAGCCAUGGUUUUACAGAAGAAGGGUACAUAAUGUAAUCAGAGUAUGUGGUGUAGCGUGGUGAAAUCCUUGGUCCUGAGAUUACCAAUACAAGUGGAUGAUGCAAGUAUGAGAAUAGUGCUACUACAUAGUUUGAAAUUAGUGUUUAGAAUUUCAUUUUCACAUAUAGAGAUAUUGUAUUCAUUGGAUCGUCUUCUUUGUAAAGCUACAACGUUAAUUUAAUAUAUGAGGUCUUUCUGUUUAUAAUAUUGUGGCUCAUGUGCACUCUCCGCUGAACAAUAAAUCAAUAUAUGAUCCACCAUUAACGAUUUGAGGUGUCUAGUAA